rnacentral:lncRNA from 1 species
UUAGAAAGUAAUUUUAAGUGAAAAAAAUUUAGUCAAAUAGGAAAAUAACAAUAGAUUGCAAUCUAUUUUGGUAAGAUAGGAAGUGACAUAUAGAAAAUUAGAAAAGGGAAGAUUAAUUAUGAAUACAAGUAAUUUGUCCAAAAAAAUUAAGUGUGUUUAAUUCUUGUGUGAGGUUAUUUGAACCCACUAAAUUACUCGCUACACCCAUUUAGUAAAUAAACCCACCGUUAAGUUUUGAAAUUUCAAAUUUUACUUAACAAACCUACCUAAACGCCCAAUGUACCCUUAUUGAACCCAAUUAUUAUAAAUAUAUAUUUUUACUCAUUAAACCCAUUAAAUUCAUUUAAAAUAAAAAAAUAAUUAGAUUUAUUAAAUUGAAAACUAAAAGAUUAUACAGAAUAUAAACAAUACUCUCAAUUAUAUGUUUUGGAGCAAAAGUUGCAAAGUGCGGUAAGCAAAGCCAAAGCAAAAUGGCUGGAGCAGCUAAUAACGGUAAAAAGGGAGAGCCCCAGUCAAGUCGUCUACUACUUGAUUUUGGGAAAGAAGUGAUAAUUAUAUCACUGUCUUUUAUUUGGAAGUUGGAUGGAUAUGCUAUUGAAAGCGGCUAUGCUAGGAACAUAAUUAGAUGUCUGCCAAAAAAAACUUUGGUAUUAAUAAAAAUAAAAUCCAAUAUCUAGUAUUUCAAUCUGAAAAGUCUCCAGUAUUUCCUUCAAUUGAUUCUUCCUUUGUCUUCCUCGAGUUUAAUAUUGACGAGAAAGCCAAGGGAAAUCAAUAAAGAAUAUCAAUUUAGGGUUUAAGAAAAAUAAUAUAAAGUUGAAUGUAAAAUGGGUUCAAA